rnacentral:rRNA from 1 species
AACUCGCCUGCAUGAAGUCGGAAUUGCUAGUAAUCGCGGAUCAGCAUGCCGCGGUGAAUACGUUCCCGGGCCUUGUACACACCGCCCGUCACACCAUGGGAGUCGGUAACACCCGAAGCCGAUAGUCUAACGAAAGAGGACGUCGUCGAAGGUGGGAUUGAUGACUGGGGUGAAGUCGUAACAAGGUAGC